rnacentral:sRNA from 1 species
CAUCGCAUUACGUUUUCGAUGUCAGUGGCAUCAUCAACACCACCGACACCACCUUCUUCUUCACCUUCCAAAAACGUGGAGAAUGGUUGAAGAUAGGAUUGAAAAUGAAGGCCAACAUGGAGGUCUAUGUUGUGGUAGAAGAAGACGCAGAAUGAGUUCUUUGUUUUGCAUUAUGAGGUGUGAGAUUAAAGAAGAAGAAUAAGAAGAAAAAGAUUGUGUUGAGCGUGUGUAGUUAAAGGAG